UACAGAGGUCUCAAGCGUUGUUCGGAUUCAUUGGGCGUAAAGGGUGUGUAGGUGGCGCGCUAAGUCGGGUGUGAAAUUUCGGAGCUUAACUCCGAAACUGCAUUCGAUACUGGCGUGCUUGAGGACUGGAGAGGAGACUGGAAUUCAUGGUGUAGCAGUGAAAUGCGUAGAGAUCAUGAGGAAGACCAGUGGCGAAGGCGGGUCUCUGGACAGUUCCUGACACUGAGACACGAAGGCCAGGGGAGCGAACGGG
rnacentral:rRNA from 1 species